CAUAUCCCCACAGAUGUGUAAUCCGGUCAAACACUUUUCACUGUCGGAUUCUCAGUCCUUUUUCAAGUCCUGAUACGCACAGCUUCCAGGUUCGGUAAAACACCAGGAGUUACACCAACCACCCACACAUUUCCCAGUAUGAAAAACAACAAAUCUUUCCCUGUGUCCUUAUUUCUUCAUCUAAUAUUCUAACCUGCCAGUCCAAGAAUCACACGAGUAGGACUGCAGGACCAGAGGUAUCUACGUACCACACGGAUUGUAACUUGGAUUUCUACAGACUAAGAGUCGACCUCAGGGAACUCAAGUGAGCCCCGUCAUUCCUUUUUAAACUCCUCAUACAUUUACCUAAGUCCCUAAACCUAAACCCCUACACUGUUCUAAACUGCCAGUCCACUGCAUGCAAACGUGGGACUGCAGUUACCAGAGGUAUCUACGUACCACACGGAUUGCAACUUGGAUUUCUACCGACUAAGAUUAUAUAUAUUUUUACCUAAAUCCCUAAACCUAUGGACACUUAUUCACUUUCCCUAACGUUGAAUUCAGUGUGAGUAUGUGCUUAUACUUUACAUGUGAUCAACAGGAAAUUUUCAAAU
ensembl:lncRNA